CCUGACUCUCACAAUCCACCUAUUAAUGAGCUGCAGUCCUACAAGCGGCGCUCAACCGCACGGUGGCGACGGUGGGAAGGAAAAGACCUGAGGAGAAAAUGGCUCUCCAGCUCUCCUUUCCAGGAAGACAGUCCGUUCAAGUGACACUUAAACUCUUACCAAGGUAAUUCAGUUCAAGGACUGUGUAUUGUAGGAGUUAUUAUGCCAGUCUCCACCGCUGCUGCUGCUGAUACUCGGUCGUUUCAAGAUGAAACAGCUGCUAAUGGCUGAGUGAUCCAUGUGAUAGCCAAGCUCAUCAGAAGUGUGGUCAGAUGGAGCUGCUGAUGGAUUAGUGAGACACGCCCCUUGCAGCGUAUCGCGCUCUGGAUGAUCAUUGAAAACAAAAACUUAAUAAUUUAGCUUAAUUUUGUCUUCCAUGUGGGCAGUUUUUCUUUAUUUUCUGCUGAUUCGUCUUAACAUUAUCUGUGAUUUCACGCAUCUGCUGUACGUAAUCAAAACGUACUUAAUAAAAAAACGUACUUAAAAAUGUAUAUUAUACUGGAUCCGCAGGACAAAAUAUGUGAACAAACCGAAAUGAAAUAAAAAAGUAAAAAAAAAAAAAAAUCGUUAGGGUCUCACCCCCCUCUCUCCAUUGAUAAGUGAAAGGAACAGGUGGUCGGUGGGCGUGUCAGUGGCAGAUGAUUGACGCGGCUCUCCACCAAUCAGACGCCGAUUAAAAACCGCGCCAGCUUGCGGAGAAAUCGACCAAUCACGGCUCUGCUUCGUCGUCGGUUGGACCAGCGGUGCUGUAAUGAGCAGCAAGCGGCUCUGCUGUGUCAGUCAGCCGGGGAGAGAGAGAGGAGAACGCCGCGCUCGUCUCCAGGCUCUGAGGGAGAAUACUGCGAUUUGGAAACACUCAGCUUUAUGUCAGAUGAAAUAUCCUGUCUCAACGAGAGGGAAUUAUCGAUUAAGGUUGUAGUGGUGGCCUCUCGGGGGAAUGAGAGAAGCCUUGUGAAUAUUUGGUGAAGCAGCAGUGGCGCCCAGUCUCCUGAGCCUUCCCCUCUGCUUUCAUCCU
ensembl:lncRNA